AUACGGAAGGUCCGGGCGUUAUCCGGAUUUAUUGGGUUUAAAGGGAGCGCAGGCGGAGAUGCAAGCGUGACGUCAAAUUUCGGGGCUCAACCCCGUCUCGCGUCGCGAACUGCGUCCCUUGGUUGCGGGAAGGGGAGGCGGAACUCGUGGUGUAGCGGUGAAAUGCAUAGAUAUCACGAAGAACUCCGAUCGCGAAGGCAGCCUUCCGGCCCGUCAACGACGCUCAUGCUCGAAGGUGCGGGUAUCAAACAGGAUUAGAUACCCUGGUAGUCCGCACAGUAAACGAUGGACACCCGCGGUUUGGCCUAUAUGGCUGAGCCGCCAAGCGAAAGCGUCAAGUGUCCCACCUGGGGAGUACGCCGGCAACGGUGAAACUCAAAUGAAUUGACGGGG
rnacentral:rRNA from 1 species